UAAAAACAAAUAAAAUUCAGUUAGCAUUCACAAUAUAAAAAAGUGGAAAAAAGCAUCUAAAGGAGAAUAGUAUUAGGUCGAAGUACGUUAGGCCGAAUGGCUUGUUGGGCCGAAAGCUUAAUUUUUAUUAUAAAAGAUGGUAAGAUGUUUUUGCGCUUUUCUGCUACAAGAUUUUUGACUUCCUUUGACAUUUCUUACCUCUAGAACAUAUAAUAAUAUAAAUACUAAUAUUUCUUGAAUCAUGAUUUUGGGGUAACCUUACAUAAUUUUAUAUUAUUAUUGACAGUCAAAGUACUCAUUGUAGGAACAGUGAUGGUUGUAAAACAUUUUCAAUAAGGUCGCAGUAGGCUGAUUUGUAGAUGUAGCACUAGUAUUAGUUGACAUUUAAGAUUGUUGUUUUUUCACUUUCGUUUCUUAUUUCCGCCAUUAAAGACGCGUGGCAUAAAGCGGUGUUUUUACUUCGCAUCCAAGAUAAAUAUCCCAACAGGUUAUGGGCCCACAGAAGUAAAAUAAAGCGAGUGUGCUCCCGGAUGAAACAGUAGCGAGUGAAGAUAGUUUGGCUCUGCGGCACAAGAGAAACAGAAUGGACAUGAAACUGAAGACUGGAGCGGUUCGGCUGAACUGUGGUAACUAUGACCUGUGGAAAGAAAGGACCAAGCAAAUUCUUGUUCGAGAAGGACUGUGGCGUGUAGUUGUCAACGAUCUUCCUCCGGAAGAUGAAGGAACUGAAGCAUGGAUCGAUAAGGAUGAGCGUGCUGCUGCUACAUUUGGAUACCUGGUUGAAAGUAGUCAGCUGCAACUAAUCAAUCAAGUCGUGGAACAUCCUACACGACUAUCAUGUGAAGCAAACGUCGGCAGGUCGGGUAGGACGGGGACGUUGAAGGGCACUUGAUCGCAAUGGAUACAAUGUUCGACAAGCUGGCGGAAGUCGGAUGUGAGAUAGCUGACGAAUUGAAAGGCGGUUUCAUACUAGCAAGUUUGCCGGAGUCGUACGAGGGAUUUGUUACGGUGAUGGAAGGAAUAGAUGGAGGAUACACUAUGAAGUCAUUGAAGUCGAAGCUCUUGAAACGCCGACAGAAGCUUUCGAGCCAGGAGGAGAAAGCUAUGAAAGCUUAUCGAGAUCCAAGAGUGCCAGGACUGACAGGUGAACAACGGGUGUGUGGUAAUUUUUCUUUUUCGCCAGACUUUGUUUUCAUACUUUUUCUGGCGUGUUCGAUAGGUAGCCGAUUUGACAGUUCGAUAGGUAGAUUGCGCGUCUCUGAUAUAAACAGUCUCUAAAAAACUAAGGUCGUUUUCGUUGUUGAUUCUGUUCUAACCUGGAUUGGAAGGGGAUCAUGUCACAGCUGCAAUCCCAACCCACCGCAGGUUCGUUAGAAUGAAAAUUGGCUUGACGCUUGUUUGUUUACACUUUUUCACUGAUCCAGUUUCAACUCAGGCCUUAAAAUGAAUCCGACAUAAGUGUCAAACCAAGUCGGAAUCAGCAAGGCCUACUUGUUACUUUAUGGACAAACUCCUUCGAAUCCCAGUUCAACAUUACAUCAGCAGAACCUGAAAUGCACACAUCUUAAGAAGCAGUCCACGAACAAAAGUGUAAUGUAUAUUUUGUCCUUGCUCUCUUGUAACAACCUUUGAAUAGGGCUCUGCACGAAAUUCUCUCCCUCUCUUUCGCUCUUAUUGAGAUUUUGUAAACAACAAGGCCAGGAAAUGUCAAAAUCCCAUACAAAAUCAAAACAGUGCAGUGCCCUAUAGGAAAA